CUCCCUCUGGUUGGCUCCCACGUAGUCUUUCUCUGAUCUUCCACAACGUGAUGAGGCCAUGCCACCUUACAAGGAUGUGUCUCUCCUUUUCUUCUCUCUUGUGCAUUUGUUCACAACUGGUGAACACUGGACCCCCACCAGGCGCUGAGCCUAAGGAGAGGUGAGACUCAGACGCUGACCUCAAGAUCAGAGCUGAGAGGGGCAAAAAGACUAGAAAAGCAACAAUUUUCACAAGGUAUGAUUAGUGCCCUCAUCUCACGUCAAGCCACUUCCCAGACUACAUCACACCAGGAAACAUGCUUGACUAAGGACCUGGAAAAGGGAGAGAAGGGAGGCAAAAGUGGCUUCCUGGAGGGAAACCCUUGGUGAGAAAUAACCCAAUUAGUGGCUCCACAACCAGCCCAUAGCUCCUUGAGACACGGACCACGCUUUCUCUUUUUUAAAAGCCUCACAUAGAGAGUGCUUAAUAAGCAGGAUCCCAGGGGACAGGGGUCAUCCAAAAGGUGGCAGGGGGGAGGAGGUGCAGGAAAGCUCCAGGGUUUGGAAGAGACAGGAUGGGCCCUCCAAACACGGAGAAAGGCUUUCAGCACUUCCUCUCCCUGCACAAUCAAUGACCAGGGCACAGGCAGCCCACAUCACUUUCGAAUGCAGGGGCACAAGCGGGCAGAAGGCGAGCCAGGAAGAGAAGCCCACGUUAGCCCACUGUCCCCAUAGGCAAGCUCAGAACCCCGAGCGCUAUCAGAGCUUCAUAGAAAGAUGCCAGCUCCCAGCAUCAACACAGUCCACAGGAGGAACAGCUUCUGGUAAACAUGCCUCAGUUCUUUAUUCACCCCACAAAUACUGACUGAGCACCUACUGGGCGCCAGGCACUGUGGCUUCAAAAACAAAGAAAAACACAGACAAGGCCUCUGUCCUCCCAGAGCUCCUGCAGUUUCCCUACCUGAAGGAAAGGAAAGCUCAGGAGCAUGAAGUAACUCGCCCCAGGAUACCCGGGUAACGAGGAGCGGAGUCCGGAUCUGGGCUCAGGCCUUUCUGACCCCAAACUCAGCCCCCCUACUACACCAGGCCUCCUCCUGCACAAGAGCUUCGAACACAGUUCUCAGAAGUCACCUGAGCCCCAGGACCACCCCCUCUGCGGGCAGCAGGAAGCCACCGAGCCCCCUUCAAGGCGCUCAGGAGCCGCAGCUCUCACCAGGGCACAGCCUCAGUCGCUGGACACGGAGGGCGCGUCGGGCAGCGCGGGUCAGAGCCCCGCAGGAGAGCAGGGGGCGCCGGCGGACGCAGAGCCCGCUCAGCCGUCCGAGGCCGAGGUCCCAUCUCUCCGCGAGCUCGGCAGCCGCAGGGCCUAGGCAGGGAGAAAAGGGGAAGGGGCUUGAGCCAAGGGGGGCGGCGAACCCAGACUCUGCCCCUCGGGGCCCUGGGGGCGUCCUGAAUCCAAAGCUCAGCCACCCGGUCUGCAGAAGGGAGCUUUUAACACAUCCCUUGAGAGGUUAUUGGGGAGAAAUGGCUUAACGGCCGUGAGGACGCUUCACCUGGGGGACGCAGCUCCGGCCCUGGAGGCCGCCGGGGGUUCCAGUGCGACGUGGUCCAGCAGUGACUCACCCAAGGGGCCAGAACUGUCGGCGACGGGUCAGAAGGGACGGCGCGAGAAGCUGCGGGAUGGUUUGGGACAGCUCGGGACGGGAGCCACAAGAUCAGGACACGGCCCCCACCCGCCCUGCGCCGGAGGAAAUGCGGCUGGCGCUCAGGCUGCGGCGGAGAGCCGUGUCUCCCUGGGCCGAACCUGCGCAUGCAGUCCCUUUGCGCCCCCUAGAGGAUCGGAGCUGAAAAUCUGACUUGCCAAGUAUCCAAACAUCCCUCCAUCUUCCAACCAUCCCACCCAUCCAUCCAUCCCUUUAUCCAGAAAACGUUUAUGGAGCACCAGCUUCCUCAUCCGUCCGUCCGUCCAUCCAUCCAUCCAUCCAUCUGCUCAUCCAUCCAUUUAUCCUCUCAUCAAUCUGUUUAUCUAGAUUCCCAUCCAUCCAGAAAAAUCUACUGAGCAGCUACUUCAAAUCAGGGACUGGGCUAAGCAUUGGAAAUAUACUAAAGAAGACAGACGUGGUUUCUGACUUUGUCGGUUAUAUUCUAGUGGGGAUAAUAAACAAAUGAGUCAGCAAAUGCAAUCAUGAAAAUCAUGACAAGUGCUACAAAGCAAAUGGGCAGGAUGGUAUAGCAGACAAUGACAGUGGGGACCUACUUAGCAAGGACAGCAGGGGCCUCUCUGAGGAGAUAUUUAAUCUAAAACCUGAUGGAAAAGAAGGAGCCAGGCAUGAAAAUAUUAGCAGACUAUGCUCAGGAAUAUAUGUAGAAAGUAAAACAGUGUGAAGAUGUGAAGUUCACGGAGGCAGAUCAACUGUGUUUGUCAUAGUAUGACAUCUGUCACUGCCAUGCCCCUCUGUCAACACUACAGGGAAUACAAGUAUAGCGUCUAAUAUUUUUUGAGAAAACACAAUAUUUCAGGUAUUUUGAUCCAUUUAGUCAUCAUACCAAUCUUAAAAGGUAAACACUAGUGUUGUCCACUUUGCUGAUGAGGAAACAAAAGCUCAGAAAGUUUAAUUGACUUGUCCAAGGUCAUGCAGUUAAUAUGUGUUAAGAACUGUGCAUAGUCUGAGAGUUAGCCCUACUUUCAAGCUAAAGAGUUAGCCUGUUAUUGUUUCAUGGCUGCUGGAAGAGGACGUGAAAUUCCUGAGUCAGGGUUCAAGGACUCUGUUACUCAUGGCAAAGCAGAGGGAGCUUCACAUUCACGUUGGUUCUUAUGCCUCACAAGUCCCAUGGGGAUGGCAUAGGGCCCGUGAUGAAUGCCUGCACGCACACUGUGUUACAGUGUUACAGGAGAGGACAGUGAGCUUGCAGAAUUCAACAUCUUUAAAGGAAAGAGAAGUAAGCCUGCUGUUAGUCUGAGAGGAGACUUUACCUCAUCCCUCAAGGUUACUCACUGCAAAACAUGACGCUAAGAGACGGCCCAGGAAAACAGCAGCCAGGGCCUUACAUUCUUGGCAAACCCAGCAGGAAUGUACAUAGAUGCUCAGGGUCCAUGGCAGACUGCCUCUCCUAACAGUAGGUAUCAGAAUCUAAAUUCAAACAGGAAAGCAAAUCUAAGAGCAACUUAAUAGGUGCUUGAAAAUGUGUUUGAUAAUAUUUAAUUUCUAUUACUGUUCAGAAAAGUAUAUUUUGGAGUACUUGGACUAAAGGGAUAUUUUCAUCAUGUGAUCCAGACCAUCACCAGCCAACAACAUUAUGUUUCAAGGAGAAACUUUAGAGGCUCCCUUAGAAAAACUAGGACCAACAAACCGCCUAUUCUCACAUGACUCUGGAUAUUAAAUGGCUAGGAUAUCUGUAGUUUUGACCUAUCUACUCCUUCACUCUGAUUUUCUUCUGGCAUUCACUCUUCCUGUUGAAUUCAGUCUUGUUGAGAGUGUCACUGAGAGAGUCCUGCCCUCCCCUGACGACGGAUUGGAUGUGGGACCCAAGCUGGGAAAAUGAUGCUUUCUUCCUUGAUUUUGUAUCUUGAGUGUGAGGAAGCGUGGAUCCUAAAGGAGCUCGGAGGCUAGUUAUGGAGCUGUGAGUAGAGUCAGACUUCAAUCAAUUUCCAAAUAAUGUGGCUUCUGGGAGGUGUUGUGCCUUGGUGGGAUUUUGAAGGACUCAAAUAGAAAGGAGGAAUAGCAAGAUGUUCAGGGAAAGGGAGGAAGAGGAAGUCUCAGCAGCUGAAGUGGGGGAAGGGGUGGGGGAGUGGACGCAUGUGUUGAUGUGUGAAGAAGUUAGGAACUGGAUGGGGCAAUAUCUCGACAUCUCAUUGCACGGUCUGUAAUAGAGGAUCUUUAAUACUGAGACAAGAGAAGAAAGAGACACUCUCAUUGUUGCAACAGGAGAGGGACUCAAUUCUGAAAUGUAAGAAAAAUUCCAUGUGUCCCAGUCUGCUCUUGGCUCCUGAGGGCUUGAAAGAUGAGACAAAUGACAGUUGAACUGAUCCAAAUAAAUUAAAAUCAAUGAAAUAACAAGAACAGAGACUAAAAUGGUAGAAUUGAGCAUAACCAUAUUUACAGCAACAUAGCUAAACAAUUUCAGGAGUGAGAAAGGGGACAUGGUAUAGUCGGAGCAGAAAGUAAAAAAGUGAAUAAUAUGUUUGACUUUUUGCUUGUAAAAUUUAAAAUUUAGAUAAAGUGAUACAUUCCUAGAAAAUAUUUAACCAAAUUGCCUUAAGGAAAAAUAGCAAACCUGGAUAAUCUUAUAACACUUUUAAAGAUUGAAUCAGUAGUUAAUGAUCUCCCCAAAAAGAAAACAUCAUAGCCAGGCGUCUUUAUAGAUAAAUUCUACAAAGCUUCGCAGCCUUACACAGUCUCCCAGAUAGGAGAAAAAGAUGGAACGGUGCUUAGUUCACAAAAUUUUCAUGACCCCCAAAUUAGACAGGGUCAGUAAAAGAAAAGUAAAUUACAGGCCAAUACACUCAUGAUUGUAGAUAUAAACAUCCUAAAAAAAUAUUGGCUAAUUUCAGGUGGAAGCAGCCUUUGUCAAUGGUGACAGGUGGACAUAGGACCCAGCUCUGCCAGCUUCAGUCUUCUUCCUUUCACCGCUGGCUGCAGGCUCUCCGCCCACUGCCUCACUGGGUAGUACCUGCCCAGUCAGCUCACCCAGGAAGGAGCUGGGUCUUGGCCAAGCAUCCCAAGCACAGGUAGACCACAGAGGCCCUGAGGGGUGACCUGUGCAUGUGACAUCCUCCAACCCCCUCAUGAGAUGAGAGACCUCUAAGAUGGGUGACUUCUCCCAGAGCUAUGAAAAGGGUGGAAGCGCCUAUCCUUUGGCUGUGAAGUUAACUUUGAGAAUUGAGAGUUUGAGUAUCAGAGGUCCUAGAGUUAAGGGCUGAAUUUUCUCAGAAAGCCCCUCUACUCCUUGCAAACCUUUCUCUUCUUCCCUGUCACAAGUUUAAUUAUCUUCUGCCUGACCUCAUUAAGCUUGAAGGGAAAAGUUCUGCCAAAAUGUUGCCCUUCAGAGAUAGUCACAAAGGUCUUUAUUAGAAGGGCCCACCAUUUGAGGAUUAGAAUGGGGAUUUUUGAAACCCCCCUCAAGAAGGUAAAACACAGGGUCACUCUGCUGUACCAGAGGAUGUGCUAGGAAAACAUCAAGCGUUUUCUGGGUUCAGCCAAGCAUCCUCAACAUCUCUGCUUCUCAGCCAGAGACUAUGAUGUAAAUGGUGCUUCCAUGAGUUGGGCAGUACACAACCUGCACAACCAUAUGUAGCAGUCCUUCCUGUCUUCAGUAGAAGAUGGACGGAGAUGUGCUUCUGGGCAAACCAGCACAUGUUCCCCGACUGUAUGCAAGAAAUAAAGGGAAUGUAAAGUCAGAAAUCCACACACAGAGAGAGAUGAAGAUGCAGGGCAGGGAGUCAGUGAAAUUCCAGUUCCCAGUGUUUGUUGUGGUGGAGGCCCAGCUUCACCUCUGCCCUUUCUUUUGUUUGAUUACAUAAGUUUUCUAGUAAUGUAUUUCUUUUUUUAUCACGUUAGGUUUCUGUAACCUACAUUCCUGGCUAUCGGCCCAAGUCUUUUCCUUAACUUGCCCCAAAUAGCCAGGUAUUAAGGUAUUCCAUGGAGGGUUUGGCUGUUGCAUGAGGCACUGUGGACAUUUUGCUUGUCCAGGUUGACUUUCCCAUCUACAGCUCUGGCCCAGUUAACCAGGGACUCCAGCAGACAGGGAAGCUUGUCGAGCUCUGGAAAUAAACGUGUUGUGAGAGCCUCUGUUCUUGGCAUUCAGAUGACAGUUCUUUCUCAGUGGCUUGUCCUUAUUUGUCAGUCAGCCGAUGUGUCGGCUGACAUUAAAAACAAAACAACACAGCAGUACACUCUCCACAAGCGCCAGAAGGGAUGUGUGUUUCCAGUGGGUCUUUUGCCAGGAGGGAGUGUGUGGGAGGCCUACCAGGCAGGAGGAGGCUGGUGAUUCGGGCUCCGGGACCACGGCUCUCUCAGGAGUGGGCCUAGGGGGCUUGAGGUGGUUGUGGGGAGAGGAGGAGUCAC
rnacentral:lncRNA from 1 species